AGUGAACGCUGGCGGUAGGCCUAACACAUGCAAGUCGAACGGCAGCACAGAAAGAGCUUGCUCUUACGGGUGGCGAGUGGCGGACGGGUGAGGAAUACAUCGGAAUCUACUUUUUCGUGGGGGAUAACGUAGGGAAACUUACGCUAAUACCGCAUACGACCUACGGGUGAAAGCAGGGGAUCUUCGGACCUUGCGCGAUUGAAUGAGCCGAUGUCGGAUUAGCUAGUUGGCGGGGUAAAGGCCCACCAAGGCGACGAUCCGUAGCUGGUCUGAGAGGAUGAUCAGCCACACUGGAACUGAGACACGGUCCAGACUCCUACGGGAGGCAGCAGUGGGGAAUAUUGAACAAUGGGCGCAAGCCUGAUCCAGCCAUACCGCGUGGGUGAAGAAGGCCUUCGGGUUGUAAAGCCCUUUUGUUGGGAAAGAAAAGCAGCAGGUUAAUACCCCGCUGUUCUGACGGUACCCAAAGAAUAAGCACCGGCUAACUUCGAG
rnacentral:rRNA from 1 species